AGUGAACGCUGGCGGUAGGCCUAACACAUGCAAGUCGAACGGCAGCACAGUAAGAGCUUGCUCUGACGGGUGGCGAGUGGCGGACGGGUGAGGAAUACAUCGGAAUCUACUUUUUCGUGGGGGAUAACGUAGGGAAACUUACGCUAAUACCGCAUACGACCUACGGGUGAAAGCAGGGGAUCUUCGGACCUUGCGCGAUUGAAUGAGCCGAUGUCGGAUUAGCUAGUUGGCGGGGUAACGGCCCACCAAGGCGACGAUCCGUAGCUGGUCUGAGAGGAUGAACAGCCACGCUGGAACUGAGACACGGUCCAGACUCCUACGGGAAGCAGCAGUGGGGAAUAUUGGACAAUGGGCGCAAGCCUGAUACAGCCAUACCGCGUGGGUGAAGAAGGCCUUCGGGUUGUAAAGCCCUUUUGUUGAGAAAGAAAAGCAGCAGGUUAAUACCCCGCUGUUCUGACGGUACCCAAAGAAUAAGCACCGGCUAACUUCGUG
rnacentral:rRNA from 1 species